GCCCGGAUAGCUCAGUCGGUAGAGCAGGGGAUUGAAAAUCCCCGUGUCCUUGGUUCGAUUCCGAGUCCGGGCACCC
rnacentral:tRNA from 2 species